UUUGGCGAAUUCUGUACUAGUAUUUGUUUUUUCUUCCUUGACUCUUUCUUCCUUGCAUGGGUGGUAAUGGAGUCCGCUUUAACUUGUUAGAAUAGGAGUGGGGCAAGAGAAUCAUUUAAAAUAAGAAGAUCGAAGCUUGGAGCUGAGCCCCAGGUAGAUAUAAAAAAGGAAUCUUUUUUCUUGGAACUGAGCCCCAUGUUUUUCUCUUUCUUUUAUUCAUUAGAUUUGAGGUGGGAAUUUGAUCGGGAAACUAGAAGCCAGUGGAUUAUAAUGUAUUGGUCGGAAGUGGGGCGGUAAAAAGAAGGUACCAAUGACUGACAGCCCUAAUCACUCCGGGUGCUUUGUGUCAGAAAUUAUGUGCUUGUUUGGGGGAAAGAAAAGGUGCUCAGAUGGAUUUCGAUGUACUUUUGCGGUGUAUUGACUUAUCACAAUGCAGCUUUGGAUGACAGACAACAACAACAACAACAAGCUUUGGAUGACAGACCUUUUCUUUAAAAUCUCGUCUGUGAUGUGUGAUGAGAGAAGUCCAAGAUCUGUAGCUUACGACCUUGGUUUUGUGGGAGAAGAACCCCGUUGGAUGGAGAUCACGUCUUCUUGUAGCCUUAUCUAGGCUUUGUCUCUUCUUUGUUAAAGGUUUGAUCGUGUCGACUUGCUUGAUAUGUGAAGGGCUGACAUAUGAUAGACCAGUCAAAGGUCUUUUUAUGUCAGAAAAAUAAAGUUCGUUAGAUUUUUUUGGGGAGGAGUGAAAAGUCGUAAUAAAAUAAGACCAGACCUCUUGGAUCAGAAAAUACAGCGAAUUCAGUGGAGCUGAAAAUUAAAGACGAGAGAGUGUCUUAGCGAAAAAAUCUUCAUCUGUGAACAAAGGAUUGUGUUAGUGAGUCCACCUGAUCACUGGUGGAACGGCCCUUAUCUAUGAUUCAUGGCAGAACUAAGUCAAUGAGAACAGGGAGGUAAUCCUUUAUCCUGUGAAUGUAUUUCUCUUGGCUGAAUGUUUAGGAACUGAAGGAGAGACCAUAUGCUUCAGGGCUAAGCAUUUCUCUGAAGGUUGUCAGCUUUUGAGAGUUGAGUAGGAAGUGCACACGUUUUAAGCAGGAUCUUUUCCGAUCGUACAGGUUUGCAGAGAUGUUAAUGUCCUUAGCUAGAUAACCAGAGGAUAUUAGUCAACACCUUUCUGCAAGUGUUUCUUCUUGCAUGGAUUUGACUUCCAAGAUUCCUUUCCAUCGGGACUGGGAAAAAUUUUCUCUAUUCAGCAGAAAAGAAGGUGAGAUUUCUAAACCUGCACAGCGAUGUGAAUGGGAAGUUGUUGAUAACCAUGGGAGCUAUGGGAAUGGCAAUGGAUCUGUAUACUCAUCCGUCGGUGGACUCGGUCCUGGCUCAGACUUGGGUAAUGGUUCAUCAAGAAGCUCUAUUCCAUCAAAAGCAGGGACCGGAGCUUUAAGGUUCAUCAUUGACUCGGUGGAAAAACCUCCUGAGAUCCUAAAGGUGAAAAAAGACUUAGCCAUGGUGGAAACCGGAAUUUUGCAUAAGGUGGUGGCCAUAGAGGGCCCUAAGGAACCUCGUACCAAGCUGAAGCUUGGCAAGAGGACAUACUUCGAAGGAGGAAUUCAUAGCACAAACUCAGCUUCUUUAGCUUCUACGAAUCCAUCCAUUGGUUUGGUAAAGAAACCAAAGGUAUCACAGCAGAACAUGCAGAGUUCACAUUGCCAAGUUGAAGGUUGUCAUGUUGAUCUUUCGGCAGUUAAAGAUUAUCAUCGCAAGCAUAGAGUCUGUGAAGGUCAUUCUAAGUCUCCUAAGGUUAUAGUUGCUGGUCAGACAUGCAGGUUCUGUCAACAGUGUAGCAGGUUUCAUGAUUUAUCCGAGUUUGAUCAGAAAAAGCGAAGCUGCCGAAGACGCCUAUUUGACCACAAUGCACGUCGACGCAAACCACGGCUAGAGACAAUCAAAUUUGGUUCUUCAGUAUUUUCUGCAUCAUAUUAUGCUACAGAUGAUAGACAACAGAUGAAUCUUAUGUUUGGUCGAGAUCCUUUUAAUCAUGUGACAAACAUGGCCAAUUCCACAUGGGAUGACUCUGGUGGCUUCAAACUUAUUCCAUCUCAAGGGCCUUGGAUAAAUUUUGGUAAAUCAGGAGACAUUAAUGAACAAUUGCAUUUUCCCAGCAAUGGAAUAUCAAAAAAUGUUUCCAGAGUUAACCAUGAUUGGGAUGGGUUCUUGCCUUUCAAGGGCACAAAUGCAGAGGCCACCAACAAAGGUCCUGGAGCACCUGUUUUUGCUUCUAACUUGGAUGGAGCACUGGAUCUUCAACGUGCUCUCUCUCUUCUGUCAACUGAAUCUUGGGUUCCAUACCAGGAACCUAUUUCUGAUUUCCAAUCUGUCAAUGCAAACAUUAUAACAUCUCAUUCUGCAAUCCAUCCAACCAAUGCAACGACAGGCUCCUGGCAAAAGACUGAGCUGCUCCUCCCCCGGCCAUCGCCGUUCAACCUACAAAACCAUGUUAGCCAGAUUUAGGAGUUUCAGCUAGAAAACAAUGUUUUCUUGACUCCACUCAUACACAUAUCUCAUAUUCAGAUGACCAUUUCAUGGAGAGUGAAAUGCAAGGAACUGGAAAUUUUCGGUGAUCACUUACCUUGGCGUUGCUAAUAUCAAUUUCAGCUGGAGACCAAAUAAAGUUCUUUGAGGCGGUCUUCAUCUGUUUCAUAUUCAUAUAUAGAGUUCUUAUCAUUCAUUGAAGAACAUUGGGGAUCUUGUCUUAGUUUGGUAGUUUGAUGCAGGGGUUUAACAGCUCAUUAAUUUGUGUGAUGAUUGGAUUAUGAGCUUAUUAUUUUUGUUUCUGGAGUGACUGGUGGCUAUUUAAGGGCUCUUUAGACUGUAAAGCACUAGUGGUGGAGAGGCUGGCAAGUACUCCAUCAGGCAUUGCAUAUGAAUGAUUAGAAAACAAAUUAUGAAACCCAUAAACUACUAUUAUUAUAAAUUGAUUAUGGAAAUUGAUCAGACAAUAAUUUUGGCCAA